GCAUUGGUUGUUCAAUGGUAGAAUUCUCAUCUUCUAUGCGGGAGACCUGGGUUUGAUUUCUGGCCUAUGUA
rnacentral:tRNA from 1 species